UUUUAAAUGGAAUGGUUAGGGUAGAUUCGCUUUUAUUUCAGUAAUGUCUGAAAGGCUGUUAUCCCACGAUGUUACGUAUACUAGAAAGGUCCACUGGCAGCCUCCUUCAAGAGUUUAGUGACCUAUGCAAAUGUUCUAGCAUUGCUCUAACUUAUGGUAAAUAGGACCAAGUAAGAAAAGAGAUGCAAGAUCCCCCAGCUCAGGGCUACGGAAGCGGAAUAGGAGCAGCCCGCGCAUUCCAAAGGUAACAAUAUUUAGCCACGCGGAGGUGCUGCCGGGGCUCCCGCGCAGCUGGCGCGGCCGGGACCGCUAGAGUGCAGCAGAGACCGCGUUUCCGCCGCCGUCCCACUCCCGCAUCCCGCACGCGCGGAGCGGCGCUGGAGCGGCGCUGGAGCCGCCCGCCCUGCGGCUGCCCGGUGCUGGCUGACUGACACCGGCUUUUCCCUUCUUUUGCUUGGCGCUCAGCGUUACGUGCCAUCCGGUUCCUCUGAGAGCAUUUCCCUCAUGUGCACCCCAGGCCCAGCCAUCUCCCUCAAAGUCAUUCCCGGUACAAGGUGGGCCUGAGCCGGCGUGCGCCAGACUCCGCGGCAAUAUUCCCAUUGUUCACGAUGAAUUUGCAACCUGAAGAUGAGGAUGAAAACCCUUGUCAGCCAUACAGCAGGUGUUUGGUGCCUUCGUAAGGAAGUUAAAGGAUGCAAUGGCCGACAACUGAAGCUGCAUGGAUUUACUGACCUUCCAGUCACGUACCCUGCACCGGGACCUUUGCUGGAGGAAAUAGUCCAUUGGAGCCUUGAAGAAACAAGUUGCAGCAGCUAUCAGCCCGAUGACAAAUUUGCAAGCAGGUCAGGGUGAGAGCCGAAGAAUCCGAUCCGGGGUGAGCCCGUGCUUCCUGAGCAGUGCACCGCACAGACCUCACUCCUCAGGGUGAUCUGCUGGACCAAAAAGGUGUGAAACAGGGAAAUCCAGAGCCAGAAAUCCCCCUCUUGGACGUUUUCAUGGAAGGAGAUGUGUGGUUCCAACAGCUCCGAAAGCAGAUCAAUGACUACAAAAGCAAUGACACACCUCAGUAGAAGAACAGCAAGUGCAAUCGGGUGGUUUUCCCCGCCAGCAGAGCCUGUGGCCGCAGGAGCCUUGGCGAGGAGCAGCGGGUCCCAGCGGCACAGCAUCGCACACCCAGCGCCCACAGAGACGGCACCACAGAACAGGGCACGGCGUGCGGGCAAAGACGAGCCGGGCCUAGAACCACACAUACCUUGCCAAGAGAGAUGUUAAACAAGAGUUAAUGGGUCGCAUAAACUAUGUGUUCUUUAGGGUUCUCGUUGCUGAUGUUCUCCAGAGCAGCGCUGUGUGCUGACAAAGGGAGGGCUGGGAAGGCAAGUGCCCGUGGAGACAGAAGAUGUUACUUGUCUUCUCCGGCCCCUGAAUCACCAGCAUAACUAGGAAUAUGUUUUACCUUCUGGAAGAACUAAUGGUCCUAACUGUCCUGUUUGUGUCCAGCAAUGUUAGACAACAAAGGCUCCCAGCGGUAACCGGCUCUUCCUGACACUGGUGGGGUACAGGAGUCUGAAUGCUGAAAUUUGUCAGCAAUGCAAUAAUGCAAUUUCAGAUAUAAUACCUACACGCAGGCAAUUUUUUGGUGUGUUAGUGUUCUCUGGAAGAGAGGACUUUUGGGGAAUUUGUUUAACUACUCGAUUGAUGGCUCUGGGUGCAUCACAUACCAUUGCGGUGCGUUGUGUGUUCUCCAGCGGGUACAAACUUACCAAAACUUUCAGCUGUGGAAGCACCGUUUGCUGCUUUGCCAAACUGAAGAGAACCGUGUGAAGGCUGCUGUGAGCAGGGGUGUCAGUCUGCUUGUAGGGGAGUCAUCGAGGAACUUUGGGGCUGUUCAGGCUCUGGAGAUGAGUUGUUCUGUCACGGCACGUCCCGUGGGGACGUCACAUUGUGUGGCAGGUACGUUGCUGUUGUCACAAUAUAUUCUUGUGAUUAUCCGAGUUAGAUUAGUAUGGCUGAUUUAGGUGUUCAUCAAAAUGAGCUCAUACCUUCCAUAAAGGUUAAUUUUGACUUGUACAAAAUGCCUUAAAAAUGAACAGUCUUCAGCACUAUGCUCUUCAGAAUUGUACAGUGAGUGAGCUACAUGUCACUGAUUAUUUACGGAGCACUCCACACCGUAGUAAUUCCAAAGUAGUAUCAAGAUCUAUGUGUCCUGAAGCUUGUUGGAAUGGAAAAAUGUUACCAGUUAUAUUUUGUAAAAUAAAUACAGUGUAAAGGUCAUUUUGGGGAGGUGUAAAUUUACAGAAUAUCUUGGCCGUGGAAUUCAGUUGAAAUAAGUUCAGAAAUGAUGAAUCUGCCAUCAGAGUGCAAUGGCGCGUUGGCAAAUCCACAGCGAGCUGAAUUUCACGUGGGUUUUUGUGUCAAGUGAAGGCCGAAGGAGGGGAGCCCAGCGGCACCAGGGCUUCCCAUCUCCCCGCGUUCCCACCCCGUCUGACGGGGCUCGGCUCCGGCUGCCCGCGCGUCCCAAGGAGACGUCGCCUCCUUGCGUGUCCAGAGACAGCGUUUGGUGUUGUAUCUUGUGUGUUUGCCUGCAGCAAUCCAAGGUACUGCGGCUUUUCUAAUAGCAAUUCACAUCUGAUUUUCAUAUUAUGGCUGUUCAAGGUUUCCAGUAGUGUUUUAGUUUUAAUUUGACAGAAAUUAAUAAGGAGGAAGAUAUCAUACAUCAGUGCUGUACAGCGGUAUUGUCACACUUCCUAAUUCGUUAGACAAUAAGAAUAAUCUACCACUUCCAAUUUAGACUCAGUAAAAUAAACACAUGUAUAUUAAUGUUUUAAAAAUAUUUCUGUUUAGUCAAGCAUGUCUUCUUUAUGCAGAAUAGCAUCAGAUCAAUAAUUAGUUGCCAUGCAUUUUAAUAACGAGACUUUUUUCUUGAGAUUGUUUUUCAUAAUUUUGCAUUUAUGUUUGACAAGUUCAGGAACUUGUCUUAUUUGAAAGAAAAAGUAUUAAUGCAGAAAUUGCUUCUCAUUGUAUUAUUGCUUGCCAAAUCUAAUAUGUAAAUACCCAGUAGAACUCAUGCUUAUGUUAAUGGAGAGAGGAUCAUAGAAAUCCUGUAGACAGAGUCUAUUUGUCCCACUUUGUUCCACACAUUAGUAUUCUCUAUGGUACUUAAUUAUUCAGUGUUUUAAUUUUAAAUUAAAAAUAAAUACUGUACAUGAAUGAUAAUUUGAGUGAAAUGAUAGGAAAACAUUCUCACAAUGAAAUGCAAGUCAAGUUCCCUUACGGUGUUUUUCUGGUCAAAAAAAAGUAUCAUCACGAAGCACGACGUCUUUUAUUUCCUAAAUUUAACUCCCCGCCAUCAUUAUGGAUCCAAAGAAUAUGUGUCAGGGACUGGUUAUGACGCGGGAAAGAAAGCUGGCUGAAACCAUUGUAUAGCCAAAGGCACAGUGAACUUAUUAUUUAAUACUGGAUUUAUUACUUCUGUGCACAUUUUGUGAAGUAUGAGGAUUGCCAGUUUUAGUUACAAACCUCAUGACUGGCAUAAGAAGUAGAUUUUAUAGAUGGAUUUUCUUUUGUUCUAAUGGCUUUUCUCAAAAUAAUUCAUUAACUGCAAGCUUAUAGCUGACCAUUUCACCAAGCUUUGGCUGACCUAGAAGGCUGCUGUGAUUGUAGCUGGGCGUUGUGGUGGGUUGUAGUACCGCCUGAGAACAGAGAAAGCUUUAUCUCCUCCAUGGAACCGGCUGCACAAGUGACUCUCCUCUAGAAAAAUGGCUUUUCCAUUUGCUCUAAACACAGUGGUUGGCAACAGAAAGGAUUUUCUCGGCAAAACAUAAUGCUAUGGGUGCGGGAAAGGCCUGCAAAGAGACUGGCUCCUCUAGUUUGAUACCAGGAUGGGGACGAAGCUUGACCACAGCAAUAAGGAGCCAGAAGCUCUAAUGCACUUUGGACUCUGUCGUGACCGACGGUGGCAACUGACACUGAUCACUGCCAUGAGGUGGUUGCACCGCUACAGCCCUACUAACCGUCCUGCUGUCACCAUGAGAAUGGCUGAAAUACAACGUGAGCUCAAUGAGAAAGUGUCUCACUUUCCAAACCUGUACAAGAAGAGAGGCGGUGCCUUUGCCAUCUCUCUUUUGAACAUAGUGUUUAGGUAGGUGUAGCCUUCUGUGUCACACUGAGAAGGAUAUUGAUUUGGGUCACCUUCUGCUUAGAAAUGGUGAUUUUAAAAGUAUUAACAAAUUAUUAUUUAAUAUAAUAAUUAUACUACAGUUGGGAAUGUUGAUUAAUGCAACCAAGUGUUAAAUUGUAUUGAAAUAUCUUUAAUUACUUGCUACUAGGUUUGAGAACAUUUAAAAAUAAUCUUAUAGAAAUAAGGCCAGAACUAGAAGGGUCUUUCUGGGUCAGUCUCGGGAUUUCAGGAUAUUCAGCUGUAAAUUUAGAAGCUAAAUGCAGGUGCCGAUUCCUUUUCAGAGUUACCACGUGCCUAUUGUACAAAGCCGCACUGGUGUUCAGGCGGCAGCACUGUCACCCAGCACACACAGCCGCCACACAGGUACAAGUCAUCACCUGGAUGUUGAACCCCUUGCCAUCCUUUGCCUCCCCGGACAACCCUGGGCCCGCUGUAGCCCGGACCUGGGCCGAGCUGUGGUUCAGCCUCUUCCCACAUCGCUCCUCUUCCAUGGGUUCCACUUCAACCACAUUUUAAAGCCCACCAGCUUGUUCGCUGCUUUUGUGCUGCUGGCAUUUACGUUGGGGAGUUUGGAAGAGGCUGUCAGCUCCAGCAAUACACAAACCACCUAAAAUUGCACUUUGUUAUUGAUAAUACAGUUCAAGUAAAAGCCUGAUUGUUGCAUUGUUAAUUCACAAUGGAAACAAGCAGGAAGUCCAAUCCCCUGUUGUUGCUGGUGCUCAAAUCAUAUAAUCCUAUACGUUUGUACGAAACUCUAUCUCACAAGCAAUUGGAUUAUUUUGCACACUGCUCUUACUGAAAGCCCAUUCCAGAGCAUCUUUGCUCUUAUGAUUAGAAACCUCCUAAUUUCUAGCCCAAAUUUAUACCUUUUGCUUCAGUACCAGCAAUCACCUGUAGCACAGAUGUUUUUUCUCUCUGAAGUGUUCCCCAUGUUGAACUGUCCAUUGACUGCAGUUAUUUCCCCCUUCACCUGGCUUCCAGCCCUCUUCCCUCUGGUCUCGCUCGUCCUUCUUUGCACCUGUGUGAGUGUUCUGCUCCUGAUCUGAGGAGCAGAAUUAUCCAGACCGCCUCAGAGGAGGCGAUACGAGUUCCUUGUGCAUGGUGUAAGUUCUUCACAUCUGGAAACACCUUCCUGGGCACAUCCUGGAGUUGCGUUUGUCUCUUUGACAAGUGCGUUACACCGACGCCUCCCGUUGUCCGCGGUCAUGGGGGGCGUUCUGCAGAGCCCAGCACCGCUCUGAGCAGGUGGGCAGGUGCUGUGUGUGAACGGCGGGGACGUGAAUACUUCUUUAAUAAAUCAGCACUUAACUCUUCACUUUGAAACAGUAUCUGUCAGUUCUAAUUGGUAAAUUUUAAUAGUCUGUAGGCUAUAAUUUAAUAAUGAAGGGCUGGGAAUUCUAAAUGAAACAGAAGACAAGAAUCAAAGCAAAAUUCACGGUAGAAAAAAAGUUACUGCUAGGAGUCACAUUAUUUAAGCAUUAUUUUGUAGUUUAAGAAUAUUAUCCAUUUAUUAUAUGUGGCCUUGUGGUUAUCUGAUUCUGCUUUCUGUGCCAAUGAGGAAAACAGAAGGUUUACCUGAAAUGUCAAAGCAUGAGAUACUGUAUUGUUUUUUGCCAUCUUGUUAACAGAAAUAAGAUAAUUCUCAGGUGAAUAAAUAAAGGUAUAGAAAUAAGUCACCUUAGUAACAUAUGCAUGUUAAGUGAGGCAGCAAAUGAAUACCACAGGACCAGGAAUACAGGACAUUAAUAGUGUUUUCUAGAUGUUAAGACAGGAAUAGCCUUUUCAAUGGUACCAAACCUGGGAUAUAGCUGUGUACUGAUAGAAAGAUACUUAAAAUUAAGACUGGAGCUAUGUUUAGUAAGUUAAUUAAUUUGUAUUGCACAGAGAAACUAUAAUCUGAACUACCAAGCAGAGCAGGACUUCAGUUAGUUUAAAAUGAGUUACAGAAAUACAUCAUAUUGGAGGGAGGUGACCACGUGUGUGUGGCUGAGAUGGUGACUUCAGUUCGGACGUGGCAGCUGUAUCUUGAUCCUCUCAUCAUAUAAAGCAUGGAUCCUGCAGGUUUCAGUUCUUAUGUAUGAAACCUGGGUGAGAUGCUUGUCUUCUGUGAGGUGCUAAGAGUUACAACCAGGCCUCAUCCGUGUAAGAAAUUCAGUUGCACAGGUAUUCCAGUGUACUAGAGAACAUGAAUAUGAAAAUUCUGCACCAAAAUAAUUUAUUUGUGCCCAAAUGUAACUUCAUUCUGACAUCAGCACUCAUAUAGAAUCUACCAGAGGAGAUAAUCGUGAUAGCUGUCCAACAUAUUCUGUAAUUACAACAGCCACGCCAGUUUUGCUGUGCAGGCGUGAUCUGACCUUUCGCAUAGCGUAUGGAGGUUUAGAGCCCGCUUUGUUACAUAGUUAAUUGUGGGGUCAAUAUGUGAUAGAGUUCAGCGGUAUAUAUGCAUUUAAGCACAGGGUUCUGACAGCUGCUUUACCUUCUAGUACAGCUGCAAUAGGGUGUUUUCAUACAUCGGCCAGAAAUGGCAAAUGAUACAUCAUCCCAGAGCAUAUCUAAGAUACCCGAUAGUAGGAACAGACUGGCUUUAUAUUACGAAGAGAUAUGUUGGAAAUAUACCUGUUUUUCUAUGAAACGAGAUCUCUACUGUGGCUGAGACCACUUAAAAUUUUUUGGUCUACCUGUUGUUUGAUAUAAAUUGUUGUUUGAUAUAAAUAAGCUGGGACUUCAUGGGGUAGCUUCGGAGGUUAACCGCACGUCAGGAACAACGGGGUGGCUCUUUGUGCGUUGCGUAGGCAUUUCCACCCCAAAAACCCCUAAAGCGCCAGAACUUUGCACCUUUCUAGGGGUGGUUAUGUCCAAGAAAGAGCUAUGCGAGUGUGGAGCCUCGUGGUGGUACGUGAACGUUUGGCAAGUGUAGAUUCUAGAGAGCUGGUUUUCCUUCUGGCAGGAAAAACCCCAUUAAACCCCACAAUACACUUUAAAGCUCAGAGCCCUUCAAAGCCAAAAUUAGUAUGGAGAAGGGGAUGGAUGACCAUAUCCCUUCUGCAGUUUCAAUAAAAAGGCCUGGUCAUCAAAUGAACUCACGCUUUGGGCUUUGUGGUGGGUCCUGAACGUGAGCUUUCAAUGGCGACCAUCAGAGAAACCCUCUUUUGACCUGCAAACUUGAUAUGGAGUCAGAGGAAGAUUAAAUCCCAAUCCAGGAGCUCUGUUUUGGUGGAGGGACAUUUCCAGCUGCAGCUGCUCUUCGCACGGUUACGUUUUAACCCAAUCAACAUGCAUAGUGGGAGGGCCAUACAGAACCCGCCAUAUCAGCUGUUCAGGGGUUAGAAGUUUGCUUUCCUAUCAGACGUGCACGCUGGGCUUCACUAAAUCUGCUGCACCGGGUCUGUGAAGCAGUGCUUUUCGAAUAUAAGACACUACUGAAGUCAAUAAAUACAAAAAAAAUGUGUUAUACUAUAUAAAGGACAAUAACAAAUUUUGGCAAUGCUUUAGAAUAAAUGUUCUUCUGCUCUUGUUCCAUUGCAGGUAUUUUUACUGAGACAAAAUUCUGAAAUUUCAAAAUGGUAAAGUCUUCCAGGAAUGGAAACGGGGCGACCGAUAGGAAGCCCAAGAUGUAAAACCACUGAGGUGAAAUGAGAACUGAAGCCAACGUAGAACUUGCAAAAGAAGUGAAAACAAACAGCGGGGUAUUUUAGCCACCAAAAUGAGGGGAGAGCCAGGGAAAGAACAGGUUGCCUUGAGGGAGGAUGGGCUUACGGGGGCCAUAGAUGCUUUCCAAAGAUUAGAUGACUUUGUGCCUCAGUGUUCGGUUUGGACCAUGGGUCUCACCCUGGAUGGGAGAGAACUGGCUGCAUGCCGUGAAUUUGGAAGGAUGGAAACGAUGCCUUUUGAGGUAGAAGUAACAUUAAAGGAACAUGGUUGCAGCGGAUCUGCACCACAGUAAUCUGCAGGAAUUGGCAUUUGGAACUACAUUUCUACUUGGAGGACAUUUAGGAUGGUGCUAAAGCAGGAGUUGUAUGAGAAAUUUCAGACAUGAUUCCUGUAUUUAAGAUAGGAAAAACCUGUGAUCUAGUUAAAUGUAGGCACAUUAGUGUGACAUCAGCAGCAUGCAAGGUAUUAGAGUGCUGUUGGAAAGGAGAAUAACAGCGAGCAUGGCAAAUGGAAGAAGUGGGAUAACACACAGAAUAGGUUUACCGAAAGCAGAUUUACCAGAUUAACUUGAUAAUCUUUCUUUAGAUUAUCCUGAUCUUUUUAGACAAAGAAAAUGGCAACGGAUGUGAUGUAUAUGCACUGUGAGAGAAGCAUCUGACACAGAGCUACAUGGAGAAUUGUUCGACUGGAAAAGACAAAGAUUAGCCCCAGAACUGUAAAUUAAGUAGAAACUGGCUAAAGGAGAUAAUAACAGAUGAUGCUGAAAGAGGAAAUACCAGGUUAGAGAGAGCUAGGAGUGGAGUUUCUGAAGGCACAGUCUGGGGACCAAUAUCGCUUAAUAUUUUCAUUAAUCAACCAGGCACAGCAAGAAUAAGAACCUGCUAGUGCAAUGUGCUGCUGGGCGGAGGCGGGAGGGGCUGUCAAUAGCAAGGAGGCUCGGCAUACGGAAAACCAGAACAUCAUCAGCGCUGGGGAGAUGUCAGUGGGGUUACAUCGAACAGUUCGAGUAGCAAGGUCAGGUAGCUGGGAACUAACGACAGUGUCUAAUGUGAGGUAGGGCUUGUCGAUUGGACCGAUACGGGAGAACUGAGCAUAUAUUUGGCACUACAUCAAAAAAAGCAUUUCCAGUUGAGAUAGGAAAAAAUUAAUGCUCUUUAGGAGGCUUUAGUAAGACUUGUUCAGGAAUGUGGUGACCAAUUGGAGCUGCCUGUGUUGGAAAGAAAGAAAGUCAGCGUAGGGCAGGAGCCGGGAAAGGUGAAUAGGUUGGUGGGGGAACGGGGAUUGUGCCUUAGCAUACCACAGGCUGCACAUAAUGAUCCAUAAACAUAACAGGUGUCAAGAGGAUCUUUUUAAGCUUUUCAGCUUUUAACUCUGAAAUCCCCUCAGACGAGCCCCCAGCACCACUGAUCCAGAGCAGGGUUGUGCCCCUUGUGCAGCUUUGGCAGACAGGAGUGCCAAGGAGGUUCUCCAGCCUUAGGAAACCGCAGUGGGGAGAAAUGUUUUGCCUGUAUCCACCACCACGGCACGGAGAAAUGUGGGGAAGCAGUCAACAAUUCUGUCUGAAAUGGAACUGCUCAGAAAUAAGAGCAGAACGAACUCAAAACAUGCUGACAUUUUCAAGGGAAUCAGGCACUUCCCAUUUAAGUUCUGAUGGAAAGUGUUCGAAGAGCCCCGAGGCUCAGGAGCCGGCUGCAUCGGGGCGGCACCAGCCGAGUCCGGAUCCGUGGGGAGCGCCCGAGCACCUCUGAGAGCCUCCGGACGUUCAGAUGAUUGCUUCUGAGGGCAAAACAUCCAUUCCCUCAGCCACGCGCUGGGGCGGCAGCGGCUCUGCUGUGGCACUGGAGCGUGACCUUGGCGCGGGUGGCGCAGAACGCGGAGCCGCUGCUGCGCCCUGCUCCCCCCGCGCUGCGGAGCCGCAGGAAAACUGACCACGCCGCAGCGCCCAGUGUCUUAUUUUUAACUUUCGCCAGACGACACGUGUAGCCGAGGCCAAACAAAGCGAGCCGGGGAAGGGGUGUGAGUGGCUGUCGGUGUCAGCGCCGAUCAGCGUCAAGCGGGGCUCCGCAGCCCCGUGCGCGCAGCGCCCCGCUCUGCUCCGGGCGCGGGGGCGCCGCAGCCACCCGAGCCCGGAGAGAUGGGCGGCGGCAGACAGACGCAGAUACAGGCUGACAGAACCACCCCCGUGGAGGACGCUCGACUUUACCAGAAAUUAAGACGCUGCACUGCUGAAGAAAGGGUUCCGUGAUCUCAUUAAGUCUCUUUUAUGUCUCCCUUUUUAUUUUAUCCUCCAGCCUCUCGCAAAAAAAUACUUUGUGUGAUUUUCAGAUUAAGUUGGAGGAAAACUGUCCGUGGGCUGAAAAAUGUUUGCAUUCUUUUCUACUAGCAGAACCCUUCACUGAAGGCUUAUAUUUUUUAAAGGAGAGGAAAAUGCAGUAGGACAUGAUAAUGUCGUAUAUUGAAACUCGCUCUUGCAAAUCAGGACUUCCUAAUAUUUUCCUUUUAAAUAAAAAUGCCAUUUAUCAUUAUCAAAUGAAGUGUUAAUGGAAUCAACUCACACACAAACUCAUGCAUAUAUAUAAAAUAAAUAAAUAUAAUAUAUACAUUAGAAAACCCUUACUGCAGAGGAUGACCAAGCACCUUGUCAGCAAUCCAUAUUAUAUUCGUUAAUUUGAUUCCUGCCAAAAAAUCACUUAAGUGAGACCUUCUGAUUUCUUUCUUUAACGCUUGAGGCUCCUUUCAUCUAAGCAGUGUUUAUUAACCUAUUUCUGAAAAUCAGCAUAAGCACAAGCUAUAUUUAAUCUGUUCUUUUCAUCUGCCUUUCUUUUUUAAUGUGUUCUGUUUUGUUUUUAAUUCCAGUGUGAGAAGUAAGAAUUAGAAACUGAGCAUUGGUCAUAAUUUGAAAAACCCCACAGGAUCAGAUAGUGACAAAUGAAAUCAUAAAAACGAAGGUUUAUUGUGCUCAUUUCCAUUCUUUAAGGGCAGACUGAUUCUAGUUUAAUUCCAGGACUAACGGCAACAACAGCAAGCAAAGUGUGCUCACAUGAGGAAUAACACUGUGACCUGACAGCCGAGAUUUGGGUGACAGGUCUAUAACUCUGUCUGUACCCCAGUCCUCCCAGUGUCCCCUUCUGCUGUCCUGAACAGAAACUCUUUAAUCUGCAGAUUAAAAGUGUUCUGUAACUAGAUAUUUUUGUUAAUACUUUCACACCAAAAAUUGCCUUAAACCCCCAGUAACCAAUGAACUCUGUAGAAAGCAGAUCCAGCGUGGAGAAGAGCAGUUGGCAUAAACUGGCAGAUACUCCUGGGGCUGCAAGGAAGCAAACCUGGUCCGUUCAUACGGACGGAGUUUUGGCGCUGAGGUGGACGUGUCCGCGAUGUCACAUCUCUCCCGUACCCAGGCCAGGGCAAGGCAGACUGAACCGACACACGGCCGUUGUGUCCAGCGUGAACACGGUGGCUCGGGUCUGCCCGCAGAGCUGCUCUGUGCGCUCGGCCGCGCGGGGAGCUGCCCUUCCUCACCUUUGGCGCCGUUAGAGCCGCGUUUCACCAGCUCCACGGAGCUUCCCUGGCGGGUUGUGUGCUGGCAGGUUUGGCCCCUCUGCCGGUGCUGCAGCCAAGGGUAGAACACUUGCUGAAACUAAACCAUGUCGUGUCGAAUUUGGUGAGGUUCCUUGACCCGAGGUAGGGCUGUGGCUGCAGGUUUGUGCAGGAAGGAGUCGUCCUCACUGGACAGCCCCAAAAGUCCUACCAGGAAGGAUGGAAGUUAUUUUCCAAGCUGCUGUAAGAGGACAAUUUUGGUAGUGAGACCGUCCUUGUGAAGAUGGUUGUAAUCUGAGAGCUGAAGCAAAAAGGUACCAAAAAGUAGCAGGUAAGGCAAAGUGAUUUAGCUUUUUUACGUGG